UGCAAUGUGUAGAGGCGAUUGUGU
rnacentral:siRNA from 1 species